UUCUGGGCUUCCCUAGGAACAAGAGGUCAAGGUACAACCAGUAGCAAUUAAGUCCUUCCACCCCCCCCCCCAAAGACAAUUAGAUUUCAUUCUUCAAAGCAUUGCAGGUUUAUUAAACCCAAGGAGGCAGAGAAUAAUAAUUUUUCUGUGGAGUCAGAAGGAGAAGAAAAAAGAUAAACUGUUAAAAUGUCUGCCACAAUCUGUAAACGAGGCAUUGUUUUAUACUGUCAUGCUUU